GGAACCUGGUUGAUCCUGCCAGUAGCAUAUGCUUGUCUCAAAGAUUAAGCCAUGCAUGUCUCAGUGUAAACACACGUAUUGUGAAACUGCGAAUGGCUCAUUAAAUCAGUGAUGAUUUCUUUGAUGUUGGUUAGCACAUGGAUAACUGUGCGAAACGUAGAGCUAAUACAUGCAUAGAAUCCCGCGUGGAGGGA
rnacentral:rRNA from 1 species